rnacentral:rRNA from 1 species
UUUUUAAAAGACCUUUUUCGAAAGGUAUGCUUAAAGAGGGGCUUGCGCCAUAUUAGUUAGUUGGUAGGGUAAAAGCCUACCAAGACGAUGAUAUGUAGCUGGACUGAGAGGUUGAACGGCCACAUUGGGACUGAGACACGGCCCAAACUCCCACGGGAGGCAGCAGUAGGGAAUUUUCGGCAAUGGAGGAAACUCUGACCGAGCAACGUCGCGUGAACGAUGAAGUAUUUCGGUAUGUAAAGUUCUUUUAUUGAAGAAGAAAAAAUAGUGGAAAAACUAUCUUGACGCUAUUCAAUGAAUAAGCCCUGGCUAAUUAUGUGCCAGCAGCCGCGGUAAUACAUAAAGGGCGAGCGUUAUCCGGAAUUAUUGGGCGUAAAGGGUGCGUAGGCGGUUUGUUAAGUCUUUAGUUUAAUCUCAGUGCUUAACGCUGUUCUGCUAGAGAAACUGACUUACUAGAGUGAGAUAGAGGCAAGUGGAAUUCCAUGUGUCAGCGGUAAAAUGCGUAAAUAUAUGGAGGAACACCAGAGGCGUAGGCGGCUUGCUGGGUCUUUACUGACGCUGAGGCACGAAAGCGUGGGGAGCAAACAGGAUUAGAUACCCUGGUAGUCCACGCCGUAAACGAUGAGUACUAAGUGUCGGGGAAACUCGGUACUGAAGUUAACACAUUAAGUACUCCGCCUGAGUAGUACGUACGCAAGUAUGAAACUUAAAGGAAUUGACGGGAUCCCGCACAAGCGGUGGAUCAUGUUGUUUAAUUCGAAGAUACACGAAAAACCUUACCAGGUCUUGACAUACUCUGCAAAGCUGUAGAAAUACAGUGGAGGUUAUCAGGGAUACAGGUGGUGCAUGGUUGUCGUCAGCUCGUGUCGUGAGAUGUUAGGUUAAGUCCUAGAACGAGCGCAACCCUUGUCGUUAGUUACCAGCACGUUAUGGUGGGCACUUUAACGAGACUGCCAAUGAAAUAUUGGAGGAAGGUGAGGAUUACGUCAAAUCAUCAUGCCCCUUAUGAUCUGGGCUACAAACGUGAUACAAUGGCUGUUACAAAGAGUAGCUGAAACGUGAGUUUUUGGCCAAUCUCAAAAAAACAGCCUCAGUUCGGAUUGAAGUCUGCAACUCGACUUCAUGAAGUUGGAAUCGCUAGUAAUCGCAAAUCAGCAUGU